UUAUACAUCUUACACAUGAUGGUGAUAAUAGAAACCUUUAAAAGUGCCGUGGAGCAGAUGGUAGCUUUAGAACAAAACAGAUCCAUUAGCUGUCAAAUGUAGCUUUCCAGAAGGAUGAAAAACAGAGUCAGUCUUAGGUAGUGCUAAGAAAAGCUCUCACUUAUUCUAACCCCUUAGGAUAUGGAUUCUUUUGUAAAAAUUCUGCUAUGGGAAGACUAUGACAACUUGCUAUUAAGGAAUGUCACAGAAUGCAAAAAAAAAAAAAAAAGGCUUCUGAUCAAAUGGUCUGAAACCUAAUUCAAAAUGUGUUUUAAAAGGUGAUGCAGGGGAGCCUAGGUGGCUCAGUUAGUGAAGUGUCUUCCUUCAGCUCAAUCAUGAUCCCAGAAUCCUGAGAUCAAGCCCUGCAUUGAGUUCCCUGCUCACUGGGGAGUCUGCUUCUUCCUGUCUCUCUACCCCUCCCCCCACUUGUGCGGUCUCUCUCUCUCUCUCUCUCCCUCUUGCUCAUUCUCUCUCUCUCUCAAAUAAAUACAUAAAAUAUAUAUAUAUAUUUUUAAAGGUGAUGCAGUUGAUUCCAGACCAAUUCCAGGUGCACAAUCCAGGACUUCCAGAAAUGCAUAGUAUUACUGUCCCCAUUUAUAGAAAUAGUUUAUCCCUUACAUUAAGUAUAAGAAGAGGGAAAAAAAUCUUCUAUUUUACAAAAGUAGAGUUUUCUAGAACUGGAGAAACCCUCAGAUAUAAUUACAGAUGAAACAACUUACUUGUCUAAGGCCAGACAGUGGUUUAGAGCCAAAUAUGUAGUAGAAACCAAGUGUCUUCUCCGGUGCCUUUCCACCCCACCUCCACCCAAUGCUAAGCAGGCACUUUGUAAAGAACCAUUUCUAUAACUAGUCACUCAUAUUAGAUUUUCUGCCUGUGUGUAUAUAUGUGGAUCAACUGAAUGAUUUGGUAAAAGAUUCUUGAACAACAUUUUACAUGACCACAAAGAGUUUUCAAGAUUUCAAAUACAUUUAUUUAUGGGUGUCUCACUCUAUUCAAUAGAAACAGCAGAGUUCUUUGUGAACGCCAGAAUAGAGGGCUACAGACAGCGGGAGAGCUUUAAUUUAAUAGUUAAACCUCAAAUGUCUAUUUGCUAAGUCACCCAAUCUGUGUUUAAACAACUCGAUCCAUAAUUUUACAUGGGAAUCAAAUGAAACUUCUGUCUACCAGCCGUAAUGCAAGUCAUUCCUGAAUCAGUACAGAAAUACAGGCAUUUAGAUCAUAAGAAAAAAUAUGCAAUUGGACAAAACAGUUUUAAAGAACCUAAGAAACAGGCCACUUGGGUUGCUCAGUGGUUAAGCAUCUGCCUUUGGCUCAGGGCAUGAUCCUGGGGUCCUGGGAUCCAGUCCCUCAUUGGGCUCCCCAUAGGGAGCCUGCUUCUCCCUCUGCCUGUGUCUCUGCCUCUCCCUCUGUGUCUCUCAUGAAUAAAUAAAUAAAAUCUUUUUUAAAAAAUAAGGAACCUAAGAAUGUCUAUUAUUCAUGAGGUGGGAGAGUAAAUUAAAUUAAUUUGAUAUAAAAUCAUUUGUGCUCUGAAGUCAUCACAGUCACCCAGUCCAUGUUCAUUCUGUUCUUUACCUUCAUUAGGUCUUCAGACUGGUUGCCCUCACAUCUUCCCCUACAGAAACAGUCCUGAUCCUAGACCUAGCAGGACACUCCACUCCUGACACUAGAAAUGCAGGCCAGUACUCUGCUCUUCACCGUUCUCUUUCUUUCAGUUACAUAAACCUUUCUGUUGUUGUUGUUAAUUAAUCUUUGGUUUCUUUGUGAACUCAAGGUCAGUUUUUACAUUUUCCAUAUUUUAAGAGGAGGAACGUGGUUGUCUUUUGGUAUGACCUAGGCUCUUGGUGCUAAAGACAGUGCCUCAAACUGUUAGUUAGGCUAGGCUUAAAUAAAAUGAUCCACUAUAAAAUGAGCACAUGGUGGCCCAGUUCUGUGCGGGCCAUCUGCUUUAUCUGCCGCUAUUUUUAUGUGACUUUGUAUUGGUCUCUACUCUCCAGUAGUAUUACUACAUUUGUCUUUUUGUCUUUACUGUAAAGUUCUCUCUAGCUCAAAAAUUCUGUAACAAAUAAAAGUCAUUGACUUCAAUACUUUUCCAUCAAGUUAAAGAGAUUGUAACAUGGGACACAGGUUUUGUGGAAACUCGGAGAAGAUAGAGGCCAGUGAGAGCCAUGAAAUCACAAAAGGCUACUUGAAUCACAAAAUGCCCUUAUUGGAUGAGAAGAAGGAAGGACUUCCAAGUGAUGAGCCAAAGAAAUAAGAAUGAGUUUCAAGAACCAAAUAUGUGUGUUGGAAACUCUAUGUGUAAGCUGGAAAUGGUGGAUUGACAUGAAGAGUCCCUCCAGUCACUGCAAAUAGGCCAAGAAACCUAAUCUCCAGCAUCACUGAUGAAUAGUUUACCUAUUCUGUCUAAGAGUGCCCAUGGAUCUAAAGUGAUGGUGCCCAGUCCAUGGGCUUCUAAGUGCCCUGCUCACUUGCAAAGCAGGAAUCUAUGGCAGCAGAGAGAAUUAGUCAAAUUCUAACACCCAUCUAGGCUUCCCUCUAGACAGUCUAUUUAUUUAAAUGAACUCCUUUGAAAGGUUAAAAAUUGCAAUGACAUGGCAAAUUGGUUGGGACUGUAGGAACAAAACAUAUAAAACUCUAUCUCUUCCAACUCUUUUGAAAAAUGGAAAACUCAGAAUUUUUUUUUUUAGCAUCAAACUGUCCCCAGAAAAAUAAACCAGUACAUUUACAUUUUUUUAAAAAAAGAAAUUUUCCUCAAAGAAAAAUGAACUCAUAUAAAGUACACAAAAGAUGAACUGCCCAGCAAAACAAUUAGAAACAAAGUCUACUUAUUGUCUGCCUCUUUUGGGACAUUGAACUUCUCCCCCUCCACAAAAGACUGAGUUGUCCUUUGGCAGACAAAUCCGUGUAAAUGGUGUGUCAGCUGUGCAGGGCAUUAACCCAAAGGGUGCAUUUUACUGACAGGGCAGAAAAUAGAGUCUACUACUGAGUUUGAAAUGAGCUGCGUUAGAUAAAUCAGUCAAGAGGUCGCUUCCUUUGGGUUUGCCUGCAGGAUGAUGUCAGUUGGCCCAAGGUGGGAAGCUCAGUUAUCUUAGCUUCGGAUUUGCAACAGUGACUUUUGUGAGCUGAGAGCCACAUCACAAAGCCAGAUCCUUAACCGCUACCCCUCGGGUGUAAAUCCAGUCCCGCUAUUGAAAAAAACUGUUUGGGGACACCUGGAUGGCUCAGUGGUUGAGUGUCUGCCUUCAGCUCAGGUCGUGAUCCCGGGGUCCUGGGAUCGAGUUCCACAUUGGGCUCCCCACAGGGAGCCUGCUUCUCUCUCUGCCUAGGUCUCUACCUCUCUCUCUAUGUCUCUCAUGAAUAAAUAAAUAAAAUGUUUAAAAAGAAAAAAGCUGUUUGAUGCUUUUUUCCAACUGACAAAAGGUAUCCUUGCUUUUUGACCAUGGUCCUUCCCAUGGCUCAUACCUUGGAUGAAGAGAUGGGGAUAUCCACCUACCUUUUCCCAGCCAGUAAAUCUGAACUCUUUUCUAAUCUGAGGCAUGUGAUUUUAAAAUGUUCAUACUUUUUAUAAACAAAGAAAUUCAAUCGACCCCAUAAGUCAGAAAUAGCUCUCUAAAGGGCAUAUUGCCAUCUCUCGCUUUUUUUUUAAGGAUACAGUAAAUUUCUUAGUUUUUGGUGGAAUUUUAUGUCUCACUAAAGAACUCUGCUGUUCCCUGUCAGGAGAGCAGGGUGGGAACAGUGGACUGAAACCCAGACUUGGGCUCUGGAAACUUAGGCAGAAAUCCUGGCUCUUCUGAACUAGGAAUGUCUGUACAACGGAGGAAGCCCCAUUCCCCAUUGGUGACACAGAGUCACAGUCCAGGCUCUCCACCCCCAUCUAUGCUGUACUGCAGGCACAAGGCAAAGUGGUAUGUAGAGUCUGGGAGGAACUGAACACAACUCAACACCUUCUUUCUCCUUCCUCCUGAACCUGCCAGUCAACAUACACCAUGUUAGUCACUCCUCAAGGCUGGUGGCCAUGGGUGUUCAAUAGCAACACUGUCUGUAGCCAAAAGCAGACCUAAUUUAGGGGCCUGGUAUUAAGCCCACUUGGCCAGUAGACUUGAAACCACGUUCUCCAAUAUCAUUUUAUCAGUAACCCAAUCCCACACUAGACAGGUUCCAAAUGUGAGAAGAGAAAACUCAGGGGUGUUUUUCCUUCAUCCCUAUUCAAAAAGACCUAGCAUGGAACCAGGAACCUCACUGAACAUGAGUAAAUUUUUGUUUAACAUUAAUGAAGGCAUGGCAGGGUGGAUCUGGUGGGGAAAAAGCAAAGUAGCCUAAGUGUGGACAUUAUAAACAAACAGUAUGAAGCAAUUGAUCCAGCUUCAAAUACCCAAAGAUAGAUCAUCAGUAUCAGUGCAGAAAAUCUUAGUAUUUCUCCCCAUGGGAAGUUUAGGAUAAAAUGGUCCCCCUUAGAUGUGCGAGAACACAACACUGUUGUCAGUCUGUGGGUCUCAGCCAAAACUGAAGGAAUCCUCUCUGCAGGCUUCCUGACUCCUUUGUUUACUUAGAGCAAGUGGCAAGAUCUGCUAGCUCAGUGUUCAGGUUUUAAAUCAAAUAGUUUGGAAGAAAAAAAAAA
rnacentral:lncRNA from 1 species